ACAGAUUUUUAUUUAUUUUUAUGCAUAAUAGUUAUUGAUUUAUCGUGCAAAAUGUCGGGAGAAAUAUCCAAGCACGACCAAAAACUUCCACAUCAUAGAAGAAGUAGUAGAUAAUAAUCAAAUUGCUAACGUUCAUAUUAUUAUACGUGACGGUAUGUGAUUGGAAGUGAGCACUCGUAACAUGAAGUAUUAAAUUUUUUACUUCCGCGGUUGGCGUGACAUAACGUAGAUAAAUCUAAUUAGCGUCUAAGAAGAAAGGAACAAAAUGAAUAAUAUUAAUAAUAUUACAUAAAUUAAUUACGGACAUGAUCAAAUUCGCAAGGAUGUCAUCCAAUUACACAGUUCCAAUUUCGUUCGAUUCUCAACUACGCUACGGUCCAAAAAAUUUGUGGAAUCUUGCAUACCUAGCGCAAAACUGAAAUUAGUAUUCUACGUUAUUCCGGUGCAAAUGAUUUCAGAUUCUUUUAUUUCGCCGUUCACACGUUUCACAGCAUUUCGCUCGGGCUUUUUUUUUGCACAGGAAAUAGUAUUGUUUUUGUUUAUCUUUUCAUAGAGCAACUGCAUGGCCGGCGAUGUAUAAUUCCUGUGAUACUGGUUAAAUGCAUUUAAAAUAUACGACAUGCCAUACUUUGUGCUUUUACUCACUGAGUUUGUGGGACUACAUUUUAUUUCAAGCUUAAGCAGACAAACAGAGCAAAUGAACGACUUUUUUAAUAUAUCACAUUUAACCCUGUUUAAGUCGAUAUCUGUUUUUUUUUUAAUGCAAGAUAUUCUUGCGCUUGACGAAAAUUAUGCCUGGUGGA